rnacentral:rRNA from 1 species
GACGGAGGGGGCUAGCGUUAAUCGGAAUUACUGGGCGUAAAGCGCACGUAGGCGGUCGCGUAAGUCGGAUGUGAAAGCCCUGGGCUUAACCUGGGAACUGCAUUCGAAACUGCACGGCUAGAGUAUGGGAGAGGGAAGCGGAAUUUCCGGUGUAGCGGUGAAAUGCGUAGAUAUCGGAAGGAACACCAAUGGCGAAGGCAGCUUCCUGGCCCAAUACUGACGCUCAGGUGCGAAAGCGUGGGGAUCAAACAGG